rnacentral:rRNA from 1 species
CCUACGGGAGGCAGCAGUGGGGAAUAUUGGGCAAUGGGCGCAAGACUGACCCAGCAACGCCGCGGGAAGGAAGAAGGCUUUCGGGUUGUAAAAUUCUUGUCUGAGGGACGAAGAAAGAGACGGUACCUCAGGAAUAAGCCACGGCUAACUACGUGCCAGCAGCCGCGGUAAUACGUAGGUGGCAAGCGUUAUCCGGAUUGAUUGGGUGUAAAGGGCGCGUAGGCGGGAAAGCAAGUCAGAUGUGAAAACUCAGGGCUCAACCCUGAGCCUGGAUUUGAAACUUUUUUUCUUGAGUGCUGGAGAGGCAAUCGGAAUUCCGGGUGUAGCGGUGAAAUGCGUAGAUAUACGGAGGAACACCAGUGGCGAAGGCGGAUUGCUGGACAGUAACUGACGCUGAGGCGCGAAAGCGUGGGGAGCAAACAGGAUUAGAUACCCCAGUAGUC